GGAUAGUGACUCUGUUGUUCCUUCUAAUGCAGAAAGCACUUCGACAAUUGAAUUUUUCUCUUUUUACAGUGAAGCGAUUAUUGAAUGACAUUCAGCCAUCAAGGAAUGAAGGCAGAAUAAAUAUAUUUCGUUAGCAUCAUUUUCAAAAAACUUUCUAAUAAGCACAGGCUUUUUGUCAUAUUCCUUUAAAGGCACGUAUAAUUUAAGAAUCCUUUCAAUUGCCAGGAAAAGACUAAGCCACCUCGCCUAUGGUUCCAACAGUGUACACGAAAAAGUGAUGAAAUUUUCAUUACUAAGGAUUCUACGUCAACGUCCAACUCCAACUCUGUAGCAUGUCGUAUUGCGUUAUGGAGAAUAUGCGCAGGACAUCCAAUACCCAUUAUCUCUCGAUCUAAACUUCGACUAAGAUGUGUGAUUAGUGUGAUCACAUUGUUUCCCUCUUCUAGCAAACACCUCCAAAAUUUACAUUGGCAUUAUCACCUGUAAAAAAUACUCAUUUCUCUUUUAAAUUAUGUUUUUCAAAUACAUGGUUUGCAAUAGUC